rnacentral:rRNA from 1 species
CCUACGGGUGGCAGCAGUGAGGAAUAUUGGUCAAUGGCCGCAGGGCUGAACCAGCCAAGUCGCGUGAGGGAUGACGGUUCUAUGGAUUGUAAACUUCUUUUGUCAGGGAGUAAAGGUCGCCACGUGUGGCGUUUUGCGAGUACCUGAAGAAAAAGCAUCGGCUAACUCCGUGCCAGCAGCCGCGGUAAUACGGAGGAUGCGAGCGUUAUCCGGAUUUAUUGGGUUUAAAGGGUGCGCAGGCGGAAUGUAAAGUCAGCGGUAAAAUUUCGGGGCUCAACCCCGUCGUGCCGUUGAAACUGGCGUUCUUGAGUGAGCGAGAGGUAGGCGGAAUGCGUGGUGUAGCGGUGAAAUGCAUAGAUAUCACGCAGAACUCCGAUUGUGAAGGCAGCAUACCGACGCUCAACUGACGCUGAUGCACGAAAGCGUGGGGAUCGAACAGGAUUAGAUACCCGGGUAGUC